rnacentral:lncRNA from 12 species
UACUCAAAAUACUUAACACAUGGUAGAUACAUCUACCCACACUAACAGAGUUGCUAAUACUCUGUUCCAAGGCCCUACACUGGGUUCUGUUUCUCUACAACACAUAAGUUAGAUAUAAAUUUGAUAUUAGAAUUCAAUAGCCUCAACUCUGGAGUUUACAAAAGCAGCUCUCUUCUUCAAGUAUAAUAAUCACUGAUGUCUCAGAUUAGAAGUGAUUCUGAAUAUUUAAAUUGAGAGUCAUGGUAUUAGAAGUGUUUUCUAAAAUCAGUUUAUAUAUAAUACAGCCUUUGCUUUUGGAUUUGUAAAAGUUUGUAGUACAUAUAUAUGCAGUAUAUUAUAUGUAGUAUAUAUAUGUAAUAUAUAUGUAAAACAAAUAUUUCUAUUAAUAAACUUUGUCUAUGGAGGUUGCUUAAGUUAAAUGAUCAUGGUAACAUUUAUUUUAUGUUUACUGAAUGUCUGGCAUUGUUCUGAGUGCUUUCUAUGUGAUCACCAUACACACAUACCUACAGGGGAAGUACUGUUAUUAUAUAUGAAUAACCUGAGGCAUAGAGAGUUUAAGUAACUCAUCCAAGGUAACAUGACUAGUAAGUUCCAAAUCUGAGGUUGAUGUCCAAGAAGUCUGGCCAUAGAGCUCAAUCGUAACCACACAGAAAUAAAUGUUUAUUGGGGUGCCUGGGUGGCUCAGUCUUUUAAGCAACUGACUCUUGAUUUCAGCUCAGGUAGUGAUCUCAGAGUCGAGGGAUAAAGCCCUGCGUGUUGGGCUCCUGGCUCAGCCAGGAGUCUGCUGAAGAUUCUUUCUCUUCCUCUCUCUCUGCUCCUCCCCGCCCGAUGCUUGUGCUCUCUCUCUCAAAUUUAAAAAAAAAAAAAAAAAAAAAAAAAAAAAAAAACUUUAAAAAAAGAAAAGCUAUUGUACUGUUCUCAGUACCUUUUUUAAUGGUAGAAGUUUUGUUGAGUGCAAGGAACAAGAUUUGUAUUAAAUUUCUUAAGCUACUUAUAAACAGAAUUCAGUCUAGAAACAUUAUGAAAAAAAUGCUUCUUUUGAAGUUAUGA